rnacentral:rRNA from 1 species
AUGCAGCAGCGCAAGGCGCCCAAGGCGUGCGCGGAGGGCGCCACGGAGCAGGAGGCGUCGCCGGCGGCCGUGCUGCCGAGGACCGCCACGGCGCGCGACUUGCUGGAGGCGGAGGAGGCGGAGGACCAGUGCUCCAUGACGCCGCGGAAGAAGAAUAAGAGGAGGCAGGCGGGCGCCGGUGAGAGGCGGUGCAGGCCGGUGGUCAACCUGUUGCUCGUCGCCUUCGUCGUGGCCGUGCUGCUGGCCGUCGUCCUUCUUGUCGACGGCGGCCGCGCUCCCGCGGUCUGGAUCGCCGCUGCCGGAGCCCAGCUGCGUCGAGGUUCCGGUCACGCCUGGUUGCCGUACGCGAGGAACGCGCCGGACAAACUCCUCGGCGGCCUCCUGGCCGACGGGGUCGACGAGAAGACAUGCCGCAGCAGGCACGAGUCCUCCGCGUACCGGCGGAGCACGCCGCGGCGGCCUUCCCCGCACCUCGUCUCGAGGCUGCGACGGCACGAGGAGCUCCAGCGGCGGUGCGGCCCCGGCAGCGACGCGUACGGCCGCGCCGUCCAGCAGCUGAGCGCCGGCAGGAGCGCCGUCGACGCCGAGUGCAAGUACGUCGUCUCCGUCUGCAACCGCGGCCUCGGCAACCGCAUCCUCGCCGCCGCGUCCGCGUUCCUCUACGCGCUGCUCACCGACCGCGUCCUCCUCGUCGACCGGGGCAACGGCAUGGGCGAGCUCUUCUGCGAGCCCUUCCCCGGCGCGACGUGGCUGCUGCCCCCGGACUUCCCGGUGGCGGGCCUCGCCAACAUCACCGUCGACGCCGCCGAGACCUACGGCAACAUGCUCAAGAACAAGGUGCUCACGACGGACUCGACUCACUCGACGCCGAUGCAGGUGCCGGCGUUGGCGUACGCCUACCUUGAGCACGACUACGGCGACGGCGACAAGAGGUUCUUCUGCGACGACGACCAGCGCCUCAUGUCCAACAUCCAGUGGCUGGUGGCGAGGAUGGACACGUACAGCGUGCCGGGGCUGUUCCAGGUCCCGUCCUUCGCGGAGGAGCUCGCCGCGCUCUUCCCGGAGCGCGACGCCGUGUUCCACCACCUCGGCCGGUACCUCUUCCACCCGGCCGACCACGUCUGGGGCCUCGUCUCGCGGUACUACCGCGCCUACCUCGCGCGUGCGGAACAGCUCGUCGGCAUCCAGCUACGCGUCUUCGACAGCGAGCAGGGCAAGUCGCCGCACAUCCUGCGGCAGAUCACGUCGUGCGUGUGGAAGGAGAAGCUGCUCCCGGAGCUCCUCGCCGCCGGCGAGCCGGCCGUCACGCCGGCGCCCGGGGGCGUGUCCAGGACCGUCCUGAUCGCCUCGCUCAGGCCGUGGUUCUACGAGCGCAUCAAGAGCAUGUACUGGGAGCAGCCGACGGCGAGCGGCGAGGACGUGGGCGUGCACCAGCCGAGCCACGAGGAGUACCAGCAGUUCGGCCGGAGGUCGCACGACACCAAGGCGUGGGCCGAGAUGUACCUGCUCAGCCUCUGCGACGUGCUCGUCACCUCCGGCUGGUCCACCUUCGGGUACGUCGCGCAGGGGCUCGCCGGCGUCACGCCGUGGGUCAUGUACCGCCCGCUCAACGUCAGCGAGACGCCCGACCCGCCCUGCGCCCGGGACGUGUCCAUGGAGCCCUGCUUCCACACGCCGCCCAUGUACGACUGCAAGCUCAAACACACGGCGGACACGGCGAGGUCGGUGCCGCAUCUCCGCCGCUGCCAGGACGUGAGAUGGGGCCUAAAGCUUGUUGUUGACCCCAAGUAG